rnacentral:rRNA from 1 species
ACGAACGCUGGCGGCAGGCUUAACCCAUGCCAGUCGAGCGCAUCCUUCGGGGUGAGCGGCAGACGGGUGAGUAACGCGUGGGAAUCUACCUUUUGCUACGGAAUAGCUCCGGGAAACUGGAAUUAAUACCGUAUGUGCCCUUAGGGGGAAAGAUUUAUCGGCAAGAGAUGAGCCCGCGUUGGAUUAGCUAGUUGGUGGGGUAAAGGCCUACCAAGGCGACGAUCCAUAGCUGGUCUGAGAGGAUGAUCAGCCACAUUGGGACUGAGACACGGCCCAAACUCCUACGGGAGGCAGCAGUGGGGAAUAUUGGACAAUGGGCGCAAGCCUGAUCCAGCCAUGCCGCGUGAGUGAUGAAGGCCUUAGGGUUGUAAAGCUCUUUCACCGGAGAAGAUAAUGACGGUAUCCGGAGAAGAAGCCCCGGCUAACUUCGUG